AUGAGGUUGACAAUGGCAUGGAUGUAUGCUAAUCUUGUUCACAGUGAUGAUCUACUGGAUGCAACAAUUUCCUUCAGGCUACUGAGAGAAGCUGGAUGUGAUAUUUCAGCAGAUGAGGUUCUUCGAAAGUUUGUCAACGAAAACGAUGACUUCAACCUUGAUCAUACCAAAGACAUCAGAGAGUUGCUCAGCUUGCAGGACAUAUCACACUUGAACAUGGGAGAAGCAUCACUAUACAAGGCAAAUGACUUCUCAAGAAAACACCUCACUUCUGCAAUUUCUGCAAUUAAACACUUGGACCUGAACCUUGCAAGAUAUGUGAGGCAUUCACUGGAUCAUCCCUACCAUGUGAGCCUAACGCAGUACAAGGCUAGACACCACCUGAGCUAUCUCCAGAGCUUGCCCACUCGGAACACUGCAAUGGAGGAGCUGGCACUUGCAGACUUCCAGCUUAACAAGUUGCAGCAUCAGAUGGAAAUGCAAGAGGUUAAGAGAUGGUGGAUGGGCCUGGGAUUGGCUCAAGAAAUACCAGCUACGCGUGACCAAAUUCUUAAAUGGUACAUGUUUCCCAUGACUAUCCUCCAGGGGCAAUCCUUCUCCAGAUACCGGAUUGAGAUCUCACCAAAAUCAUCGCAAUUGUCAGUAUUGUGGAUGACAUCUUUGAUGUUGUUGCAACACAAGAGGAGCUUUCUCGCUUCACCUAGGCAAUCAAAAUGUGGGAUCUUGCAGCUGCUGCAUCACUUCCAAGCUACAUGA
rnacentral:rRNA from 1 species